rnacentral:ncRNA from 1 species
AAAAUAGCUAGGAGCAAGUCAGUAGCGUUUGAGGGACUGUGCAGAGAGCCGGGGUGCUGAAAACCGGUCAGUCGUGAGACGUGAACGUAGCUUGUGAGCUGAUGACCUGAACUUAAAGUAAGGUCAUUCCGGAGCACUCUCCGUUAACAAAGAAGUUAAGUGGGGCAUAAACGCCCAAUUUAGGUGGUACCGCGAAGAACUCUUCGUCCUAAUU